UACGUAGGGUGCGAGCGUUAAUCGGAAUUACUGGGCGUAAAGCGUGCGCAGGCGGUCUGUUAAGACCGAUGUGAAAUCCCCGGGCUUAACCUGGGAACUGCAUUGGUGACUGGCAGGCUUUGAGUGUGGCAGAGGGAGGUAGAAUUCCACGUGUAGCAGUGAAAUGCGUAGAUAUCAAGAGGAACACCUGAGGUGAAGACGGGUUGCUGGGCUGACACUGACGCUGAGGCGCGAAAGCUAGGGUAGCAAACGGG
rnacentral:rRNA from 1 species